rnacentral:rRNA from 1 species
UACGGAGGGUGCAAGCGUUAUCCGGAUUUACUGGGUUUAAAGGGCACGUAGGCGGUGAAUCGGGUUGAAAGUGAAAGUCGCCAAAAAGUGGCGGAAUGCUCUCGAAACCAAUUCACUUGAGUGAGACAGAGGAGAGUGGAAUUUCGUGUGUAGGGGUGAAAUCCGUAAAUAUACGAAGGAACGCCAAAAGCGAAGGCAGCUCUCUGGGUCCCUACCGACGCUGGGGUGCGAAAGCAUGGGGAGCGAACAGG